rnacentral:misc_RNA from 1 species
GGCAGAUGAUAUUUUGAAAUACACAAAGAGGUUUGUCAUGUAAUUAAGCUCCAACUUCCAGCCCAUACUCAUACCUUACUCUCCUAUAAAACCCAGUGUCAGCCAUGAUAAAGCAUUAGUCCCGUACUCUGCACAGCUACAACUACUAAAAGUUGUCAACAAACAAUGCCUCCUCCCAUCUUCUUCUCUCUCCUGACCCUUAUCUUCCUCUUCCUUUCUCUCUCUUUCACUCCCUGCUCUGCCGCUGCAAGCUUCCGGCGGAAUGCACAGAAAGAUCUAGUCCGCUCAUCUUGUCUCCAUGCCAGUUACCCUAAACUCUGCAUCCACACUCUCUCCUCCUACUCUGGCCCUGCGAACACCCCUCGCGACUUAGCCCAAGCGGCCGUGAAGGUCAGCCUGACUCGUGCCCGUAGAGUCUCCAAGUACCUAAGAACGCUUUCUGGGCUUAAAACUAAGAGAGAGCGAGCGGCGCUGAAAGACUGUGUGGAGCAGAUAUCUGACUCGGUGGAUGAGUUAAGCAGCACACUGGGUGAAUUGAAGCAUUUGAGAGGAGAAACGUUCGGGUGGCAGCUGAGCAAUGCGGAGACAUGGGUGAGCGCGGCUUUGACGAACGAGGACACGUGUCUUGAUGGGUUUGAAGGAGUUGAGAGCAAAGUGAAGAGUGAUGUGAAGCGAAAGAUGAGGAAUAUGGCUAGGGUUACUAGUAAUGCUCUGUACAUGAUUAAUCGCCUUGAUGAGAGUGGCGGUAGCCAUAAUCCUUGAAGUUGAAGAGAUGGAUGCUGAUUGUGAUGGUGAUGUCCUACAAAGUUUUCAAGGAACAAGAGCACUAAUUCUUGCAAGUGAGGGAUUGCUAAUACAUUGGAAAGGUUUUCUUGUUGUUGGUGGAUCAAACACUAAUGAGACACAAAACUGAUAGUUUGAAUGUUAUUUAUUUAAACAGGCUUCAGAUGUUUCAUCUGAGGCGUUGCAGGACCUGUUAUGCAGCUCAUUAGCUUUUGCUACCUCUACAAAUGAAACGUCUUUGGAUAACUUCGACUUUCACAGCACUUGACUUUCACAGCUCGCCUGCUCGCUUUAUUCGGGGAUGACAAUGAAUUGAAACAUAGAGGUUUCAUU